UUCACUUCCGAGUCUAUGUUUUCAUAUACCCUUUAUAAUUGAAGUCGAUGAAUGUAUUAGGCUUUGGCCAAUAAAACAAUACAACUUUCAACAAUGGAUCUCUUGGUUCUCGCAUCGAUGAAGAACGCAGCGAAUUGCGAUAUGUAAUGUGAAUUGCAGAAUUCAGUGAAUCAUCGAAUCUUUGAACGCACCUUGCGCCCUUUGGUAUUCCGAAGGGCAUGCCUGUUUGAGUGUCAUUAAAUUCUCAACUUCAACACUUUUUUGUAUUGAAGCUUGGAUGUUGGAGGGUCUUGCGGGCAUAUAUUAAUGUCAGCUCCUCUUAAAUGCAUUAGCAGAACCUGUGUUCGGCUCUGGUUUGAUAAUCCUAUCUAUGCCAUUGCUGAAAUGUCAUUGUUCAGCUUCUAAUGGUCCAUUGGACUGUCUCUUCA
rnacentral:rRNA from 1 species